AACGAACGUCGGCGGCGUGCUUAACACAUGCAAGUCGAACGAGAAAGUUCCUUCGGGGACGAGUAAAGUGGCGCACGGGUGAGUAACGCGUAGAUAAUCUGUCCAGGUGUUCGGGAUAGCCCUUCGAAAGGGGGAUUAAUACCGGAUACGUUGGUCUGUCAUAAGGCAGAUCAAGAAAGGUGGCCUCUAUUUAUAAGCUAUCGCAUUUGGAGGAGUCUGCGUACCAUUAGUUUGUUGGUGGGGUAAUGGCCUACCAAGACUUUCGAUGGUUAGCGGGUCUGAGAGGAUGAUCCCGUCACACUGGCACUGAAACACGGGCCAGACUCCCUACGGGAGGCAGCAGUGAGGAAUAUUGCGCAAUGGGGGAAACCCUGACGCAGCGACGCCGCGUGAGUGAGGAAGGCCUUCGGGUCGUAAAGCUCUGUCAGAAGGGAAGAAGUGUGCAUCGGUUAAUACCCGUUGCAUUUGACGGUACCUUCAAAGGAAGCACCGGCUAACUCCGUGCCAGCAGCCGCGGUAAUACGGAGGGUGCAAACGUUGUUCGGAAUCACUGGGCGUAAAGGGCGCGCAGGCGGUUUGAUUAGUCAGAUGUGAAAGCCCACGGCUUAACCGUGGAAGUGCAUUUGAAACUGUCAGGCUUGAGUACCAGAGGGGGUAGUGGAAUUCCCGGUGUAGAGGUGAAAUUCGUAGAUAUCGGGAGGAAUACCGGUGGCGAAGGCGACUACCUGGCUGGAUACUGACGCUGAGGCGCGAAAGCGUGGGGAGCAAACAGGAUUAGAUACCCUGGUAGUCCACGCCGUAAACAAUGUCAACUAGGUGUAGGGGGUGUUGAUCCCCUCUGUGCCGGAGCUAACGCAUUAAGUUGACCGCCUGGGGAGUACGGUCGCAAGAUUAAAACUCAAAGGAAUUGACGG
rnacentral:rRNA from 1 species